ensembl:lncRNA
CUCAGCCUGAAGUUUCAUGGACGAUGAAAGCUGAUUGGAUAAAGGAACCCUUUCUGGAAAAACAUGCAUUCUCAGGCCCUGAAAACACCAUUGAAGUGUGGAUGCCAGGCCAUAAAACUUCUCCGUUUUCACAAAAACUCUGUUUUCACCAUUGCCGUGUGGAUGGGCCACUAUUCAGAACACAUGGCUGCCAGUGAGUGAGACACCAGCAAGGCAACAGGAGAAGAAAGACACAGUGAACAGGCUAACUUCAGCCUUGUGGAAUGCAUCUACUACUCCCAAUGUGUGGCCUAUUUUGUUCCAGGAGAUUGGCAUGACAGUCCACUUCCAAGAGCUCACUGAGGUAUCACUCAAAGAGACGUCUCUUACCACUGUAGAAAAAAAAGAGAAAACAGCUUGUGGACUUCAUGAGAACCAUGAUGUGUCUCAAAAAGUUACUACAUGAGGGCAGCCAUUUUGGAUGAAGUAUUCAAAGGCCCACUGCUGCCUACGGUACACGGAUGAUCCACCAGGGGGCAGAAGACAUCUGGCAGAUUGCAUACAACAGCUAUGUUCCCUGGAGGUAGUUCAACACAAGCUUGGCUCCCUCGGUGUAUGGUGAGGAGGAGGAGGAGCUUGAGAGAAAAGAGACUUCCUCAAAUGAUUCUUGUUUGAAGGGUCAUUGCUAUCGGUGCGCUAUACUCCCACCAGUGAAAUGUUGCACGCCAUCAUUUUGUUCACAGCCAUUGCAAGAGGUAGUGAUGCCGAUGUCAUCACCCCAAGCAGAACUGAAGUCUCUGUUGAAGGGGGAUCGACUGUUAACCUCUCCUGCAGCUAUUCUUCAGCAUACAAUCUACAGUGGUAUCGCCAGUAUCCCAGAUCAGCUCCUCAGUUUCUGAUGCUCACUGCCAACACUGCAGGAGAUGAUCUGAGAUCAGAUGCAGAUCACCGAAUGUCUGUGAGGGUGAAUGAGGGGAAUGUCUGUGAGGGUGAAUGAGGGGAAUGUCUGUGAGGGUGAAUGAGGGGAAUGUCUGUGAGGGUGAAUGAGGGGAAAAAUCAAGUCUCUCUGCAGAUCUACUCUGUCUCACUCACUGACGCUGCACUGUAUUACUGUGCCUUGGAGCCCACAGUGGCAGAAACCACACCGCCUGCAGCACAAAAACAUCACAGUACCAUAGAGGGAGUUCAGUAAAACUGGACUCAGAUGCUGAACUGUACAUACUCCU